GACGAACGCUGGCGGCGUGCUUAACACAUGCAAGUCGAACGGUGAAGGGGAGCUUGCUCCCCGGAUCAGUGGCGAACGGGUGAGUAACACGUGGGCAACCUGCCCCAGACUUCGGGAUAACGCUUCGAAAGAGGUGCUAAUACCGGAUACGAACUCCUUGGGCAUCCCGGGAGUUGGAAAGUUUUUCGGUCUGGGAUGGGCCCGCGGCCUAUCAGCUUGUUGGUGAGGUAACGGCUCACCAAGGCGACGACGGGUAGCCGGCCUGAGAGGGCGACCGGCCACACUGGGACUGAGACACGGCCCAGACUCCUACGGGAGGCAGCAGUGGGGAAUAUUGCGCAAUGGGCGAAAGCCUGACGCAGCAACGCCGCGUGAGGGAUGACGGCC
rnacentral:rRNA from 1 species